CCUACGGGGUGCAGCAGUGAGGAAUAUUGGUCAAUGGACGAGAGCCUGAACCAGCCAAGUAGCGUGAGGGAUGACGGCCCUAUGGGUUGUAAACCUCUUUUACCGAGGAGCAAAGUGCGGCACGUGUGCGGUUUUGCAAGUACCCUGUGAACAAGCAUCGGCUAACUCCGUGCCAGCAGCCGCGGUAAUACGGAGGAUGCGAGCGUUAUCCGGAUUUAUUGGGUUUAAAGGGUGCGUAGACGGACGCUUAAGUCAGCGGUAAAAUUGCGGGGCUCAACCUCGUCGUGCCGUUGGAACUGGGAGCAGUGAGUGGGCGAGAAGUACGCGGAAUGCGUGGUGUAGCGGUGAAAUGCAUAGAUAUCACGCAGAACUCCGAUUGCGAAGGCAGCGUACCGGAGCCCAACUGACGCUGAAGCACGAAGGCGUGGGUAUCGAACAGGAUUAGAUACCCCAGUAGUC
rnacentral:rRNA from 1 species